UCACUGGUGUUCGGGUUGUCAUGCCAAUGGCACUGCCCGGUAGCUAAAUGCGGAAGAGAUAAGUGCUGAAAGCAUCUAAGCACGAAACUUGCCCCGAGAUGAGUUCUCCCUGAGACUUUAAGUCUCCUGAAGGAACGUUAAAGACGAUGACGUUGAUAGGCCGGGUGUGUAAGCGCAGCGAUGCGUUGAGCUAACCGGUACUAAUGAACCGUGAGGCUUAACCUUACAACGCCGAAG
rnacentral:rRNA from 1 species